rnacentral:lncRNA from 1 species
GUUUUUGUUGGUCCUGGUCCAUUUUUGGGAGUGGUGGUUACUCUGUAACCAGUAACAGGGGAACUUGAAGGCAGCCACUUGACACUAAUGCUGUUGUCCUGAACAUCGGUCACUUGCAUCUGGGAUGGUUUGUCAAUUUCUACAAAUAAAAGCAGGGAGAAACCAGUGAAGCCCCAGUCCUUGGAGACAAGAUUGGACAAGUCCUCCUCUCUAGGUCUGGUACAUAUUCGAAUGAUCGCUUACAUGAGAAAGGUAUUUCUUCUCGAAAGAAUACAGAGAGAGCUUUUAGAGGGAUGGGGCAGGCAUCUCAAUACCAUUUCCUAUUUUUGAGAUGGUUGCUUCAUUCACAAAGAAGCUACAUUCCACAAGCAGGUGUCUCUUCCUACUUUAUCAACUCAUCCAUUCUUUUCCCACAAAUACUUACUGAACACUCUCUAUGCCUGUCGUAUUGCAGACAUGCGGAAUAUAUCGACAAAACUGACUGAACUUCCUGCCCUUGGGGUGCUUCCUUCUUUAUCUGGCUCAAAACUCUGUUCGCUGCAGGUGCUAGCUGCAGGUUGUUGCUCAUUAAAAAGGAAAAUCUAUUCUACAAUUAGAAAAAUACCUUGGGAGAACAUUGCAAAACAGUAUCUGAAUAAGUAAAAGCUGGUGUCACCCCAGAGUAGAAGUUUGUACCUGUUCGGUAAUUAAUGGAAAUUGGCUUGCUGCUUGCGGGGCUGUCUCCACGGCCAGUGACAGCAUACACAGUGAUGGUAUAAUCAACUCCAGGUUUAAGGCCGCUGAUGGUAGCUGUAGACUUGCUCCCAGGCACAGUGAACUCCUGGACAGGGCUAUUUCCUCCUGUAUGAAAAAGGGUUAGUUCAGAGUGUGAGGGGUUUAG